UACGUAGGAGGCAAGCGUUGUCCGGAAUCACUGGGCGUAAAGCGCGUGUAGGUGGAGCAGGAAGUCUGCUGUGAAAGCGCCUGGCUUAACCGGGCGAGGUCGGUGGAAACUCCUGGUCUAGAGGCCGGUAGAGGGGGGUGGAAUUCCGGUGGAGCGGUGAAAUGCGUAGAGAUCGGAAAGAACACCAACGGCGAAAGCACUCUGCUGGGCCGACACUGACACUGAGAGACGAAAGCUAGGGGAGCGAAUGGG
rnacentral:rRNA from 1 species